UACGAAGGGGGGCUAGCGUUGCUCGGAAUCACUGGGCGUAAAGGGUGCGUAGCGGGUCUUUAAGUCAGGGGUGAAAUCCUGGAGCUCAACUCCAGAACUGCCUUUGAUACUGAGGAUCUUGGAGUUCGGGAGGAGGUGAGUGGAACUGCGAGUGUAGAGGUGAAAUUCGUAGAUAUUCGCAAGAACACCAGUGGCGAAGGCGGCUCACUGGCCCGAUACUGACGCUGAGGCACGAAAGCGUGGG
rnacentral:rRNA from 1 species